rnacentral:rRNA from 1 species
GUACACUCCUACGGGAGGCAGCAGUGGGGAAUUUUGGACAAUGGGCGAAAGCCUGAUCCAGCAAUGCCGCGUGUGUGAAGAAGGCCUUCGGGUUGUAAAGCACUUUUGUCCGGAAAGAAAUCCUUGGCUCUAAUACAGUCGGGGGAUGACGGUACCGGAAGAAUAAGCACCGGCUAACUACGUGCCAGCAGCCGCGGUAAUACGUAGGGUGCGAGCGUUAAUCGGAAUUACUGGGCGUAAAGCGUGCGCAGGCGGUUUGCUAAGACCGAUGUGAAAUCCCCGGGCUCAACCUGGGAACUGCAGUGGUGACUGGCAGGCUAGAGGAUGGCAGAGGGGGGUAGAAUUCCACGUGUAGCAGUGAAAUGCGUAGAGAUGUGGAGGAAUACCGAUGGCGAAGGCAGCCCCCUGGGCCAAUACUGACGCUCAUGCACGAAAGCGUGGGGAGCAAACAGGAUUAGAAACCCGGGUAGUCCCAUG